rnacentral:rRNA from 1 species
AAAUUGAAGAGUUUGAUCAUGGCUCAGAUUGAACGCUGGCGGCAGGCCUAACACAUGCAAGUCGAACGGUAACAGGAAGAAGCUUGCUUCUUUGCUGACGAGUGGCGGACGGGUGAGUAAUGUCUGGGAAACUGCCUGAUGGAGGGGGAUAACUACUGGAAACGGUAGCUAAUACCGCAUAACGUCGCAAGACCAAAGAGGGGGACCUUCGGGCCUCUUGCCAUCGGAUGUGCCCAGAUGGGAUUAGCUUGUUGGUGGGGUAACGGCUCACCAAGGCGACGAUCCCUAGCUGGUCUGAGAGGAUGACCAGCCACACUGGAACUGAGACACGGUC